UAAAAUUUAAAAAUUAAAAUACUAAAUUAUUAAUUGUUAUGUUCUUGAAAUUUAAAAAGUUUGGCGGUAUUUUAUCUAAUUAGAGGAACUUGUUUUUUAAUUGAUAUUCCUCAAUAAAUCUUACUUAAAUUUUAAAAAUUUAUAUACCGUCAUUAUAAAAAAAUCUUUAAAUAGUAAUAAUUUUUAUAAAAAUUUAUAAUUUUAAAUUUUAGAUCAAGGUGUAGUUUAUAUUUAAGUUAAAAUGAGUUACAAUAAAUUUAUUUAAAUGAAUUAAAUUAUGAAAUUAAUUUAUAAAGGUGGAUUUAUUAGUAAAUUUAUUUAAUAAGUUAAAUUGAUUUUAGUUCUAAAAUGUGU
rnacentral:rRNA from 1 species